AUCAAUCUGUAUUGCUCAACGACAAAUUGGAGAGACAGCUUUAAAUGAAGUUAGUUCCCGCUCUCAUCAGAUUCUGAGAUUGACUGUUGAAAGCACAGCACGUGAAUAUUUGGCGAAUGAUAAAUUUAGUA